CUUAAUAUUAAUAAGUGCCAAUAGCUUGAGCUACAGAACUUUCGUCUAACAUUUUUAUUUUCAAUUUUGCCCUUAACUUUAUUCCAAAAUUACGGACAGUUUGCUUUUAUUUCUGUUUUGGUCUUUAGUGAGAUUGUGUCAUUUAAAAGAAUUUCAGACCACACAAAUCUUUCAUUCUCGUCUUCGUAUUCCUCUCAAGUUCUCUCUCUAAACUCAGACUCAUCCUCUAUUCUCUCUCUCUCCGUUUUUGAAUUUAUUUAUUAUUUUGUUUAUGAAUUUGAUGAUCUGUGAUUUUUGUUUGCAGAAGAAGGAAAAUAUCACUCCGAUUGGCUUGAAGAUCGUGCUCACGAACUCAGCUCUCUGCCAAAGCCUCAAGAUCCACUCCCUCUGCAAACAACAGGCAAUGAAGUGCCGAAAUCGAUGGUUUCUAACGAGAGAACUGAGAAGCAGCUCCACCAAAAUCGAUUCCUCCACUCUCUGUGAUUUUAAUUUCUUUAUUAUCUCCUAAAUUUCCUGCAUAAUCUUUUCUGAUGCUUGGCAGGGACUCGACGAACUGGAGGAAACAGAUUUCAGUAAUCAAAGGGUGGUUCUCGCCCUCUAUGAGACCAUGUACUCCGAUUUUAAUUUCUCUCUAUGGUUUCUAACGAGAGAACUGAGAAGCAGCUCCACCAAAAUCGAUUCCUCCACUCUCUGUGAUUUUAAUUUCUUUAUUAUCUCCUAAAUUUCCUGCAUAAUCUUUUAUGAUGCUUGGUAGGGACUCGACGAACUGGAGGAAACCGAUUUCAGUAAUCAAAGGGUGGUUCUCGCCCUCUAUGAGACCAUGUACUCGCACGACGUAACCACGAUGCACCAGAUGGUUGCCGACUGGAAGGGAAUCUCCGUUUCUGUCUUCUGAGCCCAGGCAAAGCAUCCCCUCUCUACGUAUCGUACGAGUGGGUCACGACGGCUCGCUGAUACCCUCCAUCUCAUCCAUGCUGUUUCCAGCGUGAAAGACUAGCAAAUCCAGUGGCUUCGUGAGGACAACUGGGAACUAAAGAAAAAAAAACAUAAAAUAAAAUAAAAGUGAGAGGAAAGUCAUGGAGAUGACCCCACUCUUCACUAACUGUUUUGUCCUUGUCCACGGAGGUGGCUUUGGUGCUUGGUGCUAUAACACAUCCUGCCCGAUGAGAUAAGCACAUGUUUAGUGAUAAGAAUUUAUUUCAAUUUUUUUAUUUUAUUUUGUAGGCCCACGCAUGCAAGUUGACAUGCAGGUCCUUGAUUUCAACUGACAGUGGUGUAGGGAUCGAUGAAUUUGCUUUAGUAACGUGACAGGGAUGUAUGGCAUCAUAGAAUUGACCCCAUCAACCUAACAUUGACGUUUCAUCCUCAAUCAUAAAAUAUAUAUUUGUAUUUUAAGUAAA